AAAAAAACAAAACUAAAUACAUUCAAAACAGGACAAAGAGGUUGCCGUCAAACUCAUUUGAAAACAGUGGAGUUGAAAGGUCAAAUAGAGAAAAAUAAUAAGAAGGAAUUCAGGUGAUACUGAAAUCCUUGGAGACUAAGAGCAAGCGGAAAAGAAACGUAAGUGGGGAACGCAGUGGAACAUUUUCAUUGUUAUUUGGUUUUGAGGGCAGGGAAGAGCACAUUAUCUAUGGCCUUUUCAUGCUUACUGAAUCGACAGCAACAUUACAUGCUUCGCGGAGUUCUUCAGCUUCACUCAAGAUAUAUUCAUCGAAUCAAUGCAAAGGAUCAGGAAAUCUCUGCCAAUAUGUUAGGAUAUAAUACAUGGCAUGUGUAUGACUCACUGCAUUCAGUAAAAGGAGAAAGAAAUUUUACAAUGCUAGCAAGAGCACCACACCAAGUAGGGCAAAAGGUGUAUGAUUCACUGUAUUCAGUAAAAGGAGAAAGAAAUUUUACAAUGCAAGCAAGAGCACCACACCAAGUAGGGCAAAAGGUAGGUUUGCAGCUCUCUCUUGUAAGUCCUGGAAUAAUUCUGGAACCAUAUAAACCUCCUGAACCUGUUUCCUUUUUGCAAAGAUUCUUUACAAGGGCGGGCUGGAAAAGGACUAGGCAGGAUUUGAUCUCAGAGCUUAGGACUGCAUAUGCAAUUGCCAAAUUGCGAAAACUUGCAGGUUACUCUAAACCAAAGUUCUAUCGAGAGGCUGUACAACACUAUAAGGAGAUAAACACAUUUUUAGCACAAAAAGAUCAAACAUCGCUACGGAAGCUUGUGACAGAGAAUAUGUAUUCAAUUUUCAAAAAGGAAAUAAAGCAAAGGGAGGGUAUUUGGUCUCGUGUGCAUUGGGAAAUGAUUGAGCCUGCUGUUAAAGUACAAACAUUACAAGCUCGCAUGUGCAGAUCGGGGUGGACAAAGACAACCUGGAUAAAGCAUUUGUGCAAGUCACCCUUGAAGUGUUAACUAACCAGGUACAGGCCAUGCACUCCAUUUUUGAUGCAUGUGGGGGUUCAAGGAGGCACUAUCUUCUGUAUUUUUAGCUGCAAAUUCAUUCUACAGUGGUGCCUAGGCAUCAGGAAAGAAGACUGGAGCAUUGACAGCAGCUUGAGAUGAAGAGAGGCAUGAAAGAAUAUAUUUUCAGAUUGCCAUUAGCCUUUCUAGUACCCAGUUUACAUGGUGCGGAAUUUUCUGAGGUCAUUUUCAGAUUGAAGGAAGAUCAGCAUGCACUGGCUGGUGUUUGGGUAUGACUGAAAUUUAAUUGCAGACCUGUUGUAGUUCUUCAGUGAGCAUCAGAUGGUGAUUUUGGAAUGUGCUCAGACCUGUAGCAGCAAAUGACCUUUAUUUCUAAAUUUGCAGCGUAUGAUUUGCAAGGAAAAUGUGUUGCUGGAGAUAUUGAUGCAAAGGUGCUAGUUCGAGAUGUCUGGGUAUUUGAGAGAUCAUUGUUUCAAUCUGAUGCAAGAUGGCGCCUUUGUG